CGAGAAGACCGAAUUCUUCCCCACCCACCUGCCUCUCCCCCAGUAGUCGGCCGCACCCCGGCCACCUCGCAGGCUCACGCCGGUGUGCCCCCCCGCCGCCAAUCACCUUCUGCGCCGCCUCCCACCUCGCGCGAGCGCCGCCUCCACCCCCGCGUGCGCCGCCGCCUCCAACCUCCCGCGCGCACCCUCACGCAGGCCUGGCUCGUGCUCGUGCUCUCUGCAGCCUGGCGCACGCGACCGGAGCGCGGGGGUGGCCGCGCGGCACCACCACGCGACCGGAGCAUGGGGGCGAACGCGCGCCACCGCCACGACAAGCCGCGACCUCAACCUCGCUCGCCGACGCGACCCCCGCCUCCCCUCGGUGGCUCCCGGUUCGAACUCCUGGACGGAGUUGGUGACGACCGCCUCGGCGAGGUCGGUGGCCAGUUUUCGGUAGCCUCGGCGCCCUCGUUGGUGCGCUCGCCGCUAGACCAGUAAAUUUUUGCUGUUCACUCAUCUGAUCAGGCCAUGCGAUUGCUGUCCUGUCCUGUUCAAUUGCUGUCAUGUUAUUAUGGUGCUACUAUAUGGGUUCCAGAAAACAAGUAAAUAUCUAUGAAGUGCAGUGAUGCAAAUGCGAAUGUCUAAGAAAAGGGGACCUGUUAUGCUGAAUGCAACAUUACAUUGCUUGAUAUGAUGGGGUUUCUCAUCCUGUUUUUGCUGACUGUAGUGCUAUAGCACUAUUGUGUAACACGGCUAUUUCUGCUUGUGAUUUGUACACCUAACAUGUGUUAAUGGUAUUGCUAGAAGCUUCUAUAGUGAUGGCUUAACACUACUAGUCCAGUUGCUUUUAUAGCUGGGGGUUAUUAUAUUUGGUUUCGUGUACAUGUUAUCAGCAUUUCAGUUGAGGUUACACAUUUGGUUCAAAUAAUCUAGCGACUUCUAACUCACUGAUGUAGUGAUGUUACACAUGUUUCAGAGGUAGUAUAGGUUCCAAUAAUAAUUGCUUGAAAAGAUAAUAUGUUUGUUAGUAUUUCUUUUGUUUCCCGAUUGAGCAGUUGAUUAGAAGACAUAUUUUGAUUUUGCAGAGUCAUCAGUGCCCGGUAAAGUUGAGUUUGUCAGUACUGCGUUUCAAAUCUGAAAGUUUAUAUAGUUUAGGGUGUAGCCAGAAUAUCAGAUGGUCUAAGUACUAGGGACCUUGCUCAAAUUAGAUUAUGAGGUAAACUUGCGCUUUAAUGUCUGAGGUUAAAUUGUAUGCUUUAAUAUCUGAGGGCCACUUGUUAUGAGCUAUUUCAACUGACUUCAAUCACCUCUUCAGCUUGUAGCUAGCAAUGGUCAACUAUGCUCUUAUUCUAUUAGAAUAGAACACAAAUGCGUAAGUGGAUUGUGGAUAUCAUACUCUUGGAAAGGUGCAAUAGUUCCCCCACAUUUUCAGGAUCAAGUGGUUAGGUAUGAUAGGAAGGUAGCAUGUUUGUUUCUUGAAUGUUUUUUUUUGACCGCGGUACGAUUUUUUGGGAUAUGUACACCUCUGUGCCUAUAUACAUAAUUCAUCUUAUAUCAUGGAACACCUGUUAUAAAUUGGUUAUAAAUCACGUUCUAUUUUUUGCAGCCAGCAAAAUUUAAAGCAUUUAUUGAUCGUGUAAACAAUACUCCACUACAUGACAUUGCCAUACCAGUAUCAGGCUUCUGUUGGGAGUUCAAUAAGGGAAAUUUUCACCAUUGGAGGCCUCUGUUUAUGCAUUUUGAUACGUAUUUCAAGACAUGCAUCUCUUCUAGUAAGGAUCUUCUCUUGUCUGAUGAUAUGACUGAGUGUGAACCGUUGAUGCAGAUUUUGAGAGUUAUGCAAAUUGUGUUGGAAGAUUGCCAGAACAAAACAUCUUUUGCUGGCCUUGAGCAUUUUAAGAAUCUGCUGGCAUCAUCAGAUCCUGAAGUACUUGUUGCGGCUUUGGAAACUCUUGCUUCAGUGGUAAAGAUAAAUCCUUCAAAAUUACAUAUCAAUGGAAAACUAUCAACAGUGGAGCUAUAAGCAGCUCUUCUACCAUUGUCCCAAGGAUGGGGUAGCAAGGAGGAAGGUCUAGGCUUUGUAUUCGCGUGUUGUGGGAAAUGACCGAAAUCAGCUGGAGGGUUUGUGUUUAUUCCCAGCAGACAUGGACAACAAAUAUGAUGGCACACAAAAUCGUCUUGAGUCCACUCUUCAUUUUGAGUAUAAUUUGGCACCCGUCCAAGAUUCUGACCAGACCAAUGACAUGAACAAGUCAUCUAAUCUUUGUGUGAUACAUAUCCCAGACCUGCACCUUCAGAAGGAGGAUGACUUGGGCAUAUUGAAGCAAUGUAUUGACAAGUUAAUGUGCCUCUAGAGCACUGGUUUGCUUUGUAUACAAGGAUAAGAUAUGCACAUGCUUUUAAUUCCCCGAGGACAUGCAGGCUAUAUGGUCGUAUAAGUCUUCUUUCUUCCAUUGUUCUUGUGCAAUCCAGUGAUGCCCAUGACGAACUAACUCGUUCUUGACAAAUGAGCCAGAGUACACAAAUGAGUUAAUCCGGCUUGUUCGCUCAGAAGAUAAUGUUCCUGGGUCCAUCCGUGCAUUGGCUAAGCUUGUACUGGGAGCACAGUUAGCAGCAUAUGCAACAUCUCAUGAGUGAGCUGGGAUACUUGAGUGAAUUAAGUAUCAUCUCUGCUGGUGGAAACUGCAUGGUCUUGCUCAGUGUUGUGCAGAAAGCAGCAUCUUCCCUCAGUAGCCCUAGUGAUACUUCAUCUCCUUCAGUUGUUGAUGCCUUUUUGCAGUUCUUUUUGCUUCAUGUGCUGUCAUCUUCGAGUUAUGGGACCACCAGGGGUUCAGGAAUGUCCCUCUCUCCUGCAAGAUAAGGAUCCUUCUCACAUGCAUCUUGUCAGUUUGGUAGUAAAGACCCUUCAGAAGCUGAUGGACUACAGCAGCCCUGCUGUUUCCCUGUUUAAAGAUUUGGGUGGUGUAGAGCUUUUGUCUCAGAGGUUACAUGUGGAGGUGCAGCGUGUUAUUGGCGUUGCUGACAGUCUUACUUCAGUGAUUGCUAGUGAUACAUUGAAAUUGGAAGAUGACCAUUUCUACUCACAGAAGCUGCCGAUUAAGGCUUUGCUCAAGGCAUUAGGUUCUGCUACAUAUUCUCCUGCAAAUCCUGCUUGCUUUCAAAGCUCCAAUGAUAAUUCCCUUGUAUUCCAGAAUGUUGGCAAGUUUGGUGGUGAUAUUUACAUCUCGUCAGUUACUGUUACGAGUGAGAUAAUACAUAAGGAUCUACAUGCUUUCCUGCAUUGAAGGAACUUGAUCUUCAUGAUGCUUCCUGUCAUCAGUAACUGCUGGGUUAUGCCAUCUUGUAGCUCUUAUAUGUGUACCCAAAGAGCAAGGAAGACAGUGAGAGAGACGAGUUCUUGAGACAGAUGCUUGAAAUGAAUGCAAGGACAGUGUCGGGUCUGAAGCGCUGCCUUAUUGACAUGAUCGCAGUGGCCGACGUGGCUAUGGUGGAGCUCGAGCCCACAAAGCGCGUGCGGGAGCUAGUGGAGACGGAGCUGCAUGGGGGCGAGGUGCAGGCCUCCAUCCCAGCCGCGUCAAAUACAGGCACUCGAGGCGACAAUCUCACAUCUCCAGUAGGAGAUCAGUAAGGUGGGCACUGAUCUGGAGCUGCUUAAGGUCAGUAACUUUGGAAGUCGAAUCAAUUUAGGCUCCUGGUCUAUUACUUAAAUAUGACGUGCUUGUCUUUAUGAUUGGAAUUGGAACUGGCGGGCUGCGCUUUUGGUACUUGAUGUAAUGUCUCCAAAGAUCAAGGAAUACAGCGAGAGGCAUUCUCAACAGAAGGUUUCUGUAGACUUAGCAGAGAGGCGCUCCGGACCACCAUCAGCAGAUGGUAUGCAAGACAAGUCAGUAGAAGGCAGUUUGAACAGACGACUUGUGUGAGCUCGGCCGAGAGGUGCUAUGGACAUCCUUCUUGAAAAUAAAAAAGGGUUUUCUCUCCAUUCCUUGUUAGGAAGUAUUGUACAUGUAUAUACGGUAUGAAUAUAAACCGUAUAUACGUCUGGUAGGAUUAUGUGUGUUGCGUGGGUCAUUGUAAUCAGGUAGUUGCGGUUGUUAGGAUUCAUCCUCAUCUCUGUAUAGCUUUCUUCAGGAUCAAUCCAACACCAACCGAACUACCAUAUCUUGUAAACCUGUCGAUCUAUAUAACAUGCAACGCGUCCCAGCCAGAGGCAUACGCUUCAA